GUUAAAUGUGGCGAAAUGGGCGAAACAAAGUGUUGCUAAUUUAGUAAUUUAUACUUGGUUAAAUCUAUUGUCUGUGAUUCCAAAUAUCAAGCUGAACUUCGCAUCUUAUAUGUAUGCUGUCAUUCCAACAAGUUGGCUUAGUAGCGCUCAGUCACUGUUCAUCAUGAUCCUCAGGAUAUCAAAAGCCUAAAACCCAUGUUUGAAGCCCACACAUAGUGGAAUACAAAUGUUCCGAGAUAGGGACUCUUGCUCAUGAACCACAGGAUCUUUUCGGAAUCUUGCAAUUUCGGUGGUUUAACCUGCAGCACCUUGUCUUUUGUUAUGGCUGUUUCUACUUUUGUUUAGAAGGAAACUCAGCCGAGGGAUAGAAUUUCAGUGACAUGAAGAGUCUGGAAUGAAUAACGCACUUGCCAUGUGUUUGUAAACAUACCAGAUCUGCUGGAUGAGAAUCAAAUUAUGCCUUAAUUCAUCACUCAAAUGAUAUAGGAGUUAUGCUGUUGGUUGCUGUGAAUGCCAUUUUUACUGUUUAUUUCAUUAUGAACAUUUCAGUGUGCUUCUAAGAAAAGAGCACGCAAGAUCCCUCACGGACAUCCUUGAGCCAAUGCUGGAUUUGUCCAUGGCAGAAGAGGGACUUCCACCGGGUCAUGGACGUUCAGGCCCCGGCGUUCAGGCCCCGGCUUUCAGGCCCACUUUCUACGUGGGCCUGAACGUCCAGCUGUUGGGCCUGAACGUCCAAAAUUAAAACACACAUCAUUAUAACAAGGCACAGUGAUGUUUUUUUCAAAUUUCAGUAUCUUUUACCUUUUUCUUAAUAGUGUUUUGUUUGGCUUUCAAUUCUGCUGCUAUUUUUCUUUCCAUUUUGUGUGCAGUUUCCGGAAAUCCCGCCGCCACGUCUCUAUCUCGUCAGAUCUUUCUUGUUAUCUUUGCUACUGCUGAGAUAUUUUGUUCUGCGUCAAUUGAGGGUUUGUCAUUAGUUUUUUAGUUUUUUGGCUUUUUUAAUCCCCAGACAUUCCAUUAAGGUCUUUAAUGUAAAAUCUUCAGACUACUUGAUACUUUAAACUACUUAAAAGUUUAAACAACAACUUUUCAUUCACUAAACAAAAACAAAGAACUAAUGGUCGAAGGGUCAUGGACGUACAUAUUACAUACACUGUAUUACUAUUAUUAUUCUGGACGUUCAGGCCCAAUCUGGACGUUCAGGCCCGGGGCCUGAAAGCCGGGGCCUGAACGCCGGGGCCUGAACGUCCUACAUCCCUUCC